CAAGAGGUACAAAGAGCUCAUCGUCAUGACAGGAAGGUUUGUGUGGUUUGAAGGGACACACUUCCCAAGCCUGGAUUACUCAUCUGAACUCAUGAGAGACAUGCAGGAGAGUUUUCUUAAAGAUGAAGAUGUCUUACUGCUGACUUUCCCCAAAUCAGGUCUAGACUUCAUGUUUUAAAUAUGCCCCCUCAAAAAGGAAGGAAGGAAGCAAGCAAGAGACUUCUCUGGCAGUCCAGUGGUUAAGAUGCCAAGCUUCCAAAUCAAAGUGCAUGGGAUUCGAUCCCUAAUCAGGGAACUAAGAUAUCACACACCUCCUGGCAUGGCCAAAAACAAACAAACAAACAAACAAAAUGAAGAAGAAGAAGAAGGGGAGAGAGUAAAUUUACUGUGGGGAAAUCUAACAAACAUCACCUCGGCCAAGUGAUCAAGGUCAAUUGUGAGUUGUCAAGUUGAUAGUGAAAGCCCUUGAAACGUUGGGACUAUAAUAGUAUUUUACCUCCAUGAUCAUUGUCUCCCAAACCCAGAAACCCAGUCUAAUUAUCAGGAAAACGUGGAGUACACCCCAAGAGGGGGACCUUCUCCAAAAUAUCUGACCAGCCAUCCUCAAAACUCUCAAGGUCAUCAAAGACAAGGAAAGUCUGAGAAAUUGUCACAGCUGAGAGAGACCUGAGGAGAUGUGAAGACCCAGUGUGAUGUAGUGUCUGGGCCAGAAUCUUGGAACAGAGAAAGGAUAUUAGGCUAUCCUCAUGGUCCAGUGGUUAGGAUUCUACCUGCCAAUACAGGGACACAGCACAUUUCCACACGCCAUGGGGCAACUGAGCCCCUGGGCCACAUAUUCGGCCCAGCAGCCUAGAGCCCGCGCUCCGCAACAAGAGAGUAACCCCUGCUGGCUGCAGCUAGAGAAAGCCUGCACACGGCAGUGAA